rnacentral:tRNA from 1 species
GGUGGUUGUAGCUCAGUUGGUAGAGCGUCGGGUUGUGGUUCCGAAUGUCGCGGGUUCAAGCCCCGUCAAUCACCUUUU